rnacentral:rRNA from 1 species
GACGAACGCUGGCGGCGUGCCUAAUACAUGCAAGUAGAACGCACAGUUUAUACCGUAGCUUGCUACACCAUAGACUGUGAGUUGCGAACGGGUGAGUAACGCGUAGGUAACCUGCCUGGUAGCGGGGGAUAACUAUUGGAAACGAUAGCUAAUACCGCAUAAUAUUGAUUAUUGCAUGAUAAUUAAUUGAAAGGUGCAAUUGCACCACUACCAGAUGGACCUGCGUUGUAUUAGCUAGUAGGUGAGGUAACGGCUCACCUAGGCGACGAUACAUAGCCGACCUGAGAGGGUGAUCGGCCACACUGGGACUGAGACACGGCCCAGACUCCUACGGGAGGCAGCAGUAGGGAAUCUUCGGCAAUGGACGAAAGUCUGACCGAGCAACGCCGCGUGAGUGAAGAAGGUUUUCGGAUCGUAAAGCUCUGUUGUAAGUGAAGAACGGGUGUGAGAGUGGAAAGUUCACACUGUGACGGUAUCUUACCAGAAAGGGACGGCUAACUACGUG